ensembl:lncRNA
AUGGGCUGCGCCCCCCCCGGGGCAGACCCCAAAGCACCGCCACCGCCACCAGAACCUGAGGGGGGCACAGCGGGGUCGCUAUAGGGCCGCUAUGGGGUGGGGGUCACUAUGGGGUGGCUAUGGGGUGGGGUCCCUAUGGGGUGGGGUCCCUAUGGGGUCACUAUGGGGUGCGGUCCCUACGGGGUGGGGUCUCUAUGGGGUCUCUCUGGGGUGGGGUCCUUAUGGGGUGGCUUUGGGGUGGGGUCACUAUGGGGUGGGGGCCCCUAUGGGGUCUCUAUGGGGUGGGGUCCUUAUGGGGUGGCUAUGGGGUGGGGUCCCUAUGGGGUGGGGUCUGUAUGGGGUGGGGUCUCUAUGGGGUCUCUAUGGGGUAGGGUCCUUAUGGGGUGGCUAUGGGGUGGGGUCCCUAUGGGGUCCUUAUGGGGUGGGGUCCCUAUGGGGUGGGGUCUCUAUGGGGUCACUAUGGGGUGCGGUCCUUAUGGGGUGGGGUCCUUAUGGGGUGGCUAUGGGAUGGGGUCCCUAUGGGGUCUCUAUGGGGUGGGGUCCCUAUGGGGUCACUAUGGGGUGCGGUCCCUAUGGGGUGGGGUCUCUAUGGAGUCCUUAUGGGGUGGGGUCCCUAUGGGGUGGGGUCUCUAUGGGUCCACUAUGGGGUGCGGUCCCUACGCGGUGGGGUCUCUAUGGGUGGGGUCCAUAUGGGGUGGCUAUGGGAUGGGGUCCCUAUGGGGUGGGGUCUCUAUGGGGUCUCUAUGGGGUGGGGUCCUUAUGGGGUGGCUACGGGGUGCGGUCCCUACGGGGUGGGUCCUCUACGGGGUGGGGUCUCUAUGGGAUGGGGUCCUUAUGGGGUGGGGUUUCUAUGGGGUGGGGUCCUUAUGGGUUGGCUAUGGGGUGGGGUCUCUAUGGGUGGGAUUCUUAUGGGGUAGCUAUGGGGGGGGGUCCCUAUGGGGUGGGAGCCCCUAUGGGGUGGGGUCUCUAUGGGGUGGGGGCCCUUAUGGGGUGGCUAUGGGAUGGGGUCCCUACGGGGUGGGGUCUCUAUGGGGUGUUGGCCCCUAUGGGGUCACUAUGGGGUGGGGUCCCUAUUGGGUGGUUAUGGGGCAGGGGACUCUAUGGGGUCGCUAUGGGGUCGCUAUGGGGCUGCUAUGGGGCAGGGGUCCUUAUGGGGUCCUUAUGGGGUCCUUAUGGGGUCGGUAUGGGGCUGCUAUGUGGUCCUUAUGGGGUGGUGGUUGCUAUGGGGUCCCUAUAGAGUCGCUGUGGGGUGGGAGUCACUAUAGGGUGGGGCCGCUAUGGGGCCGCUAUGGGGUGUGACUGCCUGUAGGGUGGGGUCGCUAUGGGGCCACUAUGGGGUGGGGGUCCCUAUAGGGUGGGGUCGCUAUGGGGCCGCUAUGGGGUGGGGUCCCUAUAGGGUGGGGUUGCUAUAGGACUGCUAUGGGGAGGGGAUGCCUAUAGGGUGGGGUCGCUAUGGGGUAGCUAUAGGGCCGCUAUGGGGCGGGGGUCCCUAUAGGGUGGGGCCACUAUGGGGCCGCUAUGGGGAGGGGAUCCCUAUAGGGUGAGGAUCUCUAUAGGGUGGGGCAGCUGUAGGGCCGCUAUAGGGCCGCUAUGGGGCAGGGGUCCCUAUAGGGUGGGGAUCCCUAUAGGGUGGGGUCGCUAUGGGGCCGCUAUGAGAUGGGGAUUCCUAUAUGGUGGGGUCGCUAUGGGGCUGCUAUGGGAUGGGGAUCCCUAUAGGGUGGGGUCGCUAUAGGGCCGCUAUGGGGUGGGGAUCCCUAUAGGAUGGGGUCGCUAUGGGGCCGCUAUGGGGCAGCGCUAUAGGGUGGGGGUCCCUAUAGGGUGGGGUCGCUAUGGGGCCGCUAUGGGGCGGGGGUCCCUAUAGGGUGGGGAUCCCUAUAGGGUGGGGUCGCUAUGGGGCCGCUAUGGGAUGGGGAUCCCUAUAGGGUGGGGUCGCUAUGGGGCCGCUAUGGGAUGGGGAUCCCUAUAGGGUGGGGUCGCUAUAGGGCCGCUAUGGGGCGGGGGUCCCUAUAGGGUGGGGUCGCUAUGGGGCCGCUAUGGGGCAGGGGUCCCUAUAGGGUGGGGAUCCCUAUAGGGUGGGGUCGCUAUGGGGCCGCUAUGGGGCAGCGCUAUGGGGUGGGGACGUGGCAGUACCUCCAUGGCCGUUCGGUCCCCUCCGCCCCACUCGCGGCCCCCCGACCCCCCCGUGGCUGUGGGGUGUGGGUGGGGGGUUAUGGGGCCCUUUAGGGGAUUUGGGGGGGGGGGCGUUAACCCUAGCGCUGCCGGGAGGGAUUCGUUAAUUACUGCUAAUUGUGUUAAUGAGCGCCGGCAUUGGGGGGGAUCUGGGGGGUCU